GAUCCGUUCAUCGAUGGUCGGCAAGUAUGAUGGUCCUAAUGAUGAUCCUGCAUGUAUUUCGUGUGUAUCUCACCGGCGGAUUUAAAAAACCUCGCGAAUUGACUUGGGUUACAGGUGUGGUUCUGGCUGUAUUAACCGCAUCUUUUGGCGUAACUGGUUAUUCCUUACCUUGGGACCAAAUUGGCUAUUGGGCAGUGAAAAUAGUAACAGGUGUCCCUGACGCUAUUCCUGUAAUAGGAUCACCUUUGGUCGAAUUAUUGCGCGGAAGCGCUAGUGUGGGACAAUCUACUUUGACUCGUUUUUAUAGUUUACACACUUUUGUAUUGCCGCUUCUUACUGCCGUAUUUAUGUUAAUGCACUUUCCAAUGAUACGUAAACAAGGUAUUUCUGGGCCUUUAUAGAUAGAGAAAAUCAAAAUAUAUCCUAACUAUUUGUAAUCAAUCGUUUAUCACUUGGUGUAGGAAUAUAUAGUAUUUCAUUGCUACAAGUAUGGAUUAUUGAAAAUAAUAAGACAUGGAUUUGGACAUUUCCCUUUAACCAUUCAUGCCAACUAAACGGGGGGAUUGAAGGGAAUUUUGUGAAGAGAAAAUGGAUUAUGGGAGUGUGUGACUUGAACUAUUGAUUGGUCUGUGUAGAUAUAUGCCUGCCACAUGGGAAUUCACAACCAAAUGUGUCUCUUUGUUCCAAUCGCCGUGUAACCCUAUACAGAGGAUAGGCUGGUUCGCUUAAAGAGAAUCUUUUCUAUGAUCCGAAUCAUGUUGUACAUGAGCAGGCUCCGUAAGAUCUAGUAUAAGUGAACUAGAUAAAAGGGAAUCAAGAUUCCCUUUUAUCUAGUUCACUUAGAAGAUUUAAUAGUAUGUAAAUGUAUUCAUUUCCUCUGCAUUGACACGAUCAAUACUACUAUCGGAGUGAAACAAGGGAUCUAAAGAAGAAGAGAGGCUAGACUAUAUUAGUAACAAGCAAACCUUGUAUGUGUAUCUCCAAGCAUUUUGGAGAUAAAUACCAAUUAGAAGGUCUGAGACGACCCAGAAAGCACUUGAUCAUAUCAUGAUCUGAUUUGUAAGCCUACUUGGGUCUUGAGUAUUUACUUGUAAGAACGGAAUUCUUUGUUUUGUAAUGGAGAGUUGCAACUCCAUAAAAAAGAAUUCAGUCAAAUUUUUCUUAUAUUGAACCAUUCCUAUAUCAUAUAUGUGUAUGUGUAAAUACAGGUACCAUAUAGAUAUUUUCUAUGGAUAUAUGGAUUCGUUUGGUUCUUUUUAUUCUUGCUCGAGCUGGAUGAUUAAAAAUUAUCAUGUCCAGUUCCCUCGGGGGAUGGAUCUAUAAGAAUUCACCUAUCCCAAUAACAAAAAAACCUGACUUGAAUGAUCCUGUAUUAAGAGCUAAAUUGGCUAAGGGUAUGGGUCAUAAUUAUUAUGGCGAGCCCGCAUGGCCCAAUGAUCUUUUAUAUAUUUUUCCAGUAGUAAUUCUAGGUACUAUUGCAUGUAAUGUAGGCUUAGCCGUUUUAGAACCAUCAAUGAUUGGUGAACCAGCGGAUCCAUUUGCAACCCCUUUGGAAAUCUUACCUGAAUGGUAUUUCUUUCCUGUAUUUCAAAUACUUCGUACAGUGCCCAAUAAAUUAUUGGGGGUUCUUUUAAUGGUUUCAGUACCUGCGGGAUUAUUAACAGUACCUUUUUUAGAGAAUGUUAAUAAAUUCCAAAAUCCAUUUCGCCGUCCAGUAGCGACGACUGUCUUUUUGAUUGGUACCGCAGUCGCCCUUUGGUUGGGCAUUGGUGCAACAUUACCUAUUGAUAAAUCCCUAACUUUAGGUCUUUUUUAAAUUUUUUAAUUGAUUCAAUUGUGAACUAACACGACAUGUGUAUCUAGGGAAUAGUUUCUUCAAAGCGAAUUCUCCCUAGAUACAUCUAUUCAAUUUCAUUAUUAAUUUCUUUCUAAUAUCUAAUAUAUGAUAUAUUAAUUGUGCUAAAUUGUGCUUUUUCAAUCUAUUUUCACUAAGUAAGUCCAAUAGAUUUAAAACUUAUUUUUUGCUAAAUCAAUUACGAAAUAUUUUUCUAAAAUGUCCAAUAUCUGUUUUAUAUCUUCGCUACGAAAAUGUUCAAUUUUCAUAAGAUCUUCUUGGCUGUUAUUCAAAAGGUCCAAUAAUGUAUAUAUAUUGGACAUUUUGAGGCAAUUAUAGAUCCUGGAAGACAAUUCUGAUUGGUCAAUAAAAAUCGAUUUCAAUGCUAUUUUUUUUUUGUUUUUUAUGAGUUUAGCCAAUUUAUCAUGAAAGGUAAAAGGGGAUAAAGGAACCGUGUGUUGAUUGUCCUGUAAAUAUAAGUUGUCUUCCUCCAUAUGUAAAAAGGGAAUAAAUAAAUCAAUUAAAUUUCGGGAUGCGUCAUGAAGUGCUUCUUUCGGAGUUAAACUUCCGUUUGUCCAUAUUUCGAUAAAAAGUAUCUCUUGUUUUUCAUUCCCAUUCCCAUAAGAAUGAAUACUAUGAUUCGCGUUUCGAACAGGCAUGAAUACAGCAUCUAUAGGAUAACUUCCAUCUUGAAAGUUAUGUGGCGUUUUUAUAAGAUAUCCACGAUUUCUCUCUAUUUGUAAUCCAAUACAAAAAUCAAUUGGUUCCGUUAAACUAGCUAUAUGUUGUGUAUUAUCAACGAUUUCCACAUAAGGUGGCAAGAUGAUAUCUUGAGCAGUUACAUAUCCAGGACCCUUGACACAAAUAGACGCCUCAGAAGUUCCAUAUAAAUUACUUCUCAAUACAAUCUCUUUCAAAUUCAUUAAAAUUUCAUGUACCGAUUCUUGAAUGCCCGUUAUGGUAGAAUAUUCAUGUGGUACUUUCUCAGAUUUUACACGUGUGAUACAUGUUCCUUCUAUUUCCCCAAGUAAAGCUCUUCGCAUCGCAAUGCCUAUUGUGUCGGCUUGGCCUUUCAUAAGUGGAGACAGAAUAAAGCGUCCAUAAUAAAGGCGUUUACUGUCUGUUCUUGAUUCAACACACUUCCACUGUAGUGUCCGAGUAGAUACUGUUACUUUCUCUCGAACCAUAGUACUAUUAUUUGAUUAGAUCAUCGAAUCUUUUAUUUCUCUUGAGAUUUCUUCAAUGUUCAGUUCUACACACGUCUUUUUUUCGGAGGUCUACAGCCAUUAUGUGGCAUCGGAGUUACAUCCCGUACGAAAGUUAAUAGUAUACCACUGCGACGAAUAGCUCGUAAUGCUGCAUCUCUUCCGAGACCGGGACCUUUUAUCAUGACUUCUGCUCGUUGCAUACCUUGAUCCACUACUGUACGGAUAGCGUUUGCUGCUGCGGUUUGAGCAGCAAACGGUGUUCCUCUUCUCGUACCUUUGAAUCCAGAAGUACCAGCUGAGGACCAAGAAACUACUCGACCCCGUACAUCUGUAACAGUGACAAUGGUAUUAUUGAAACUUGCUUGAACAUGAAUAACUCCCUUUGGUAUUCUACGUGCACCCUUACGUGAACUAAUACGUCCAUUCCGACGCGAACUAAUUUUCGGUAUAGCUUUUGCCAUAUUUUAUCAUCUCGUAAAUAUGAGUCAGAGAUAUAUGGAUAUAUCCAUUUCAUGUCAAAACAGAUUCUUUAUUUGUACAUCGGCUCUUCUGGCAAGUCUGAUUAGCCCUGUCUUUGUUUAUGUCUCGGGUUGGAACAAAUUACUAUAAUGCGCCCCCUCCUACGGAUUAGUCGACAUUUUUCACAAAUUUUACGAACGGAAGCUCUUAUUUUCAUAUUUAUCAUUCCUUACCUUAAUUCUGAAUCUAUUUCUUGGAAGAAAAUAAGUUUCUUGAAAUUUUUCAUCUCGAAUUGUAUUCCCACGAAAGGAAUGGUGAAGUUGAAAACCUAAUCCUUCAAAUCUUUGUUGUGGAGUCGAUAAAUUAUAUGUCCUUUGGUUGAAUCAUAAGGACUUACUUCAAUUUUGACUCUAUCUCCUGGCAGUAUCUGUAUAAAACAAAGUUCCUUUGAGGUAUCAACUAAUGCGAAAGAUAUUAGAUAACUCUCCCCCCCUUUUUCGCAAAUAGGAAGUUUCGAAUUCAAUUUGCAUAUUAUAAAGGAUUACCAGAUAUAACACAAAAUUUCUCCACCUAUUCCUUCUAGUCGAGCCUCUCGGUCUGUCAUUAUACCUCGAGAAGUAGAAAGAAUUACAAUCCCCAUUCCACCUAAAAUUCGCGGAAUUCGUUGAUAAUUAGAAUAGAUUCGUAGACCAGGUCGACUGAUUCGUUUUAAAUUUAAAAUAUUUCUAUAGGGUCUUUUCCUAUUCCUUCUAUGUCGCAGGGUUAAAACCAAAAAGUAUUUGUUGUUUUCUCGAUGUUUUCUCACGUUUUCGAUAAAACCCUCUCGUAAAAGUAUUUGAACAAUAUUUUCGGUAAUAUUAGUAGAUGCUAUUCGAACCACCCUUUUUCGAUCCAUAUCAGCAUUUCGUAUAGAAGUUAUUAUCUCAGCAAUAGUGUCCCUGCCCAUGAUGAACUAAAAUUAUUGGGGUCUCCAAAUUUGAUAUAAUCAACGUGUUUUUUACUUAUUUAUUUUUGAAUAUGAUAUGAAUUAUUAAAGAUAUAUGCGUGAGACACAAUCUACUAAUUAAUCUAUUUCUUUCAAAUACCCCACUCGAAACAGAUCACAAUUUCAUUUUAUAAUACCUCGGGAGCUAAUGAAACUAUUUUAGUAAAAUUUAAUUCUCUCAAUUCCCGGGCGAUUGCACCAAAAAUUCGAGUUCCUUUUGGAUUUCCUUCUUGAUCAAUAACAACUGCAGCAUUGUCAUCGUAUCGUAUUAUCAUCCCGUUGUCACGUUUGAGUUCUUUACAGGUACGCACAAUUACAGCUCUGACUACUUCUGAUCUUUCUAGGGGCAUAUUUGGUACUGCUUCUUUGAUCACAGCAACAAUAACGUCACCAAUAUGAGCAUAUCGACGAUUGCUAGCUCCUAUGAUUCGAAUACACAUCAAUUCUCGAGCCCCGCUAUUAUCCGCUACAUUUAAAUGGGUCUGAGGUUGAAUCAUUUUUUUAAUCCGUUCUUUGAAUGCAAAGGGCGAAGAAAAAAAAAGAAAUAUUUUUGUCCAAAAAAAAGAAACAUGCGGUUUUCUUUCAUAUCUAAGAGCCCUUUCUACAUUUUUUUCUAUUACAUUACGAAAUAAUGAAUUGAGUUCGUAUAGGCAUUUUGGAUGCUGCUAGUGAAAUAGCCCUUCUGGCUAUAUUUUCUGUUACUCCACCCAUUUCAUAAAGUAUUCGCCCCGGUUUAACAACAGCUACCCAAUAUUCAGGGGAUCCUUUUCCUGAACCCAUACGGGUUUCUGCCGGUCUUAAUGUAACAGGUUUGUCUGGAAAUAUACGUACCCAUAUUUUUCCACCACGACGUGCAUUUCGUGUCAUUGCCCGUCGGCCUGCUUCUAUUUGUCGAGAUGUAAUCCAAGCAGGUUCAAGUGCCUGAAGAGCAUAUUUACCGAAAGAAAUACGAUUACCUCGAUAAGAUAUUCCCUUCAUUCUGCCUCUAUGUUGUUUACGGAAUCUGGUUCUUUUGGGGUUAUAGUUGAUGGUUGGUUCUGAAUUCCAUCUCUACUACAGAACCGGACGUGAGAGUUUCUUCUCAUCCAGCUCCUCGCAAAUAAAAGGAUUCAAAAAAAUUCAAUUUGAAUUAAGCUAGAAUAGUAAAUCUUAAGUUAAGAUAUAUAAGAUAUGUAUUUACUGAGUAAUACCUUGAACGUGGGCUUCUUUGAGAUUUCAUUAAAUCUAUUAGUAAUUUGUAUAUCUUGUUUGAAUAGAUAACUAAACUUUGUAGUUUUCUAAAGAGAAAUAAAAAAAAUUGUAUUAUUAUACCAAAUCCUUAUUUUGUCCUUUAUUGUAUUGUCCUAAAUUUUGCAAUAAAAAAGUUUUCGCGGGCGAAUAUUUACUCUUUCAAUCCCUAUUUCAUUUGUAGGGUUAACUCGUGACUUCUCAGAUCUCAGAAUACAUGAAUUAAUCUAUGGUUCGUUCCGCCAUCCCGACCAGUGAAUCAUUAAGAUUCCUUUUUCAAUAGAAUCUUUUGCAUUCACAAGUUCCGUCGUUCCCAUCACUUCUUACUUAAUGGUUAGGUCCGAAUUCUACAAUGGAGCUCAGAAUCAAAUUGGUUCUUGAGUCAAUCUUCUUAGUCUUUAUUGGCUCGAAGCUCUUGAUUUUUUGUUCUAUUUCUAUAAGAAGAUUCUUUUUAGUAUGGUAUGAAUGCGUAUUGAUGCUUUAUUACACUGUCUUUUAUGAGAUUACUCAUAGACCUUACAUAUUGGAAUUUUAUAUCAUUGGUAUUCUUUUUCUCUCUUUCUCUCAUCCUUCCCUUUAUCCACAUCUUUUUUGUCUAUUUUGCUUUACAACUUAGAAGCAGAUUUUUUUGUUUAUGCAAAAGAUUUCAGUUGCUACAAAGAUAUGACCUAUAUAUCAUAUCUUGACUGGUUCUUUAGAUCCAGAUAAUGCGAAGUGAUGGGUUGGUUAUUAGUUCUAUAGUUUUUAGUUCAUACUAUGUGGGCUGGGUUUUUUUAAUCCUAACCCUAACAAAACCCACGAGUCACACACUAAGCAUAGCAAUUAUAUCAAAUGGUCAAUCGAAUUUUUAUUCAACCUUAUAGAAUUAAGAAUUAGAAAGAAUUAAGAAUUAGAAAUGUUCCCCUUGAUUAGAAAAAGAAUGAAUUGGUCUUUUUUUUUGUUCAAUCAUUGGAUAGAAGGGAAAGACAAGUAGUAAAAUUAUUCCUCGUCUAGAAAUAUCCAAAUUUUGAUGCCCAAUAUUCCAUAGAUAGUUCGAACUGUAUAAGAGCAAUAAUCAAUUUUAGCUCGAAUCGUUUGUAGGGGAACCCUGCCUUCUCUGAUCCAUUCGACACGUGCAAUUUCUUUUCCGUCGAUACGCCCCGCAAUUUGUAUUUGAAUUCCUUUUGUAUCCGCUUGUUCUGUUAAUUCAAUAGCCUUUUUCAUUGCUUUUCGAAAUGAAACUCUAUUCUUUAAUUGUCCAGCUAUAAAUUCUGCAAGAAUAUUAGGGUUUCCGUAAGGUUUUGCAAUUCUUGUGACAGCAAUGUUCAGUUUUCGGUUUACACAAUUAAAUUCUUUUUGUAAGGUCAUUUGUAAUUCUUCGAUUCCGCGCGGUCGACUUUCUAUUAAUAAUUUUGGGAAUCCCAUAAAGAUUAUGACCUGGAUCAGAUCGAUUCUUUUUUGAAUCUCUAUACGUGCAAUUCCCUCGAUGCCAGAGGACGUUCUCAUAUUUUUUUGUACAUAAUUCUUGAUACAAUCUCUGAUUUUUUUAUCUUCUUGUAAACCCUCAGAAUAAUUUUUGGGUUGUGAAAACCAAAGGGAAUGAUGACCUUGGGUUGUACCCAGUCUGAAACCAAGUGGAUUUAUUUUUUGUCCCAUAAUCCCCCGCUAUUAUACAUAUCACGAUACGUCAUAGCUGUAGAUUUUUUUUUCCAUCUCGUUUUUUUUAACGAAGACAUCUCGCCAUAUUCAUCAUCUAAAGAUAUAUCUUUCAUUACAAUAGUUAUAUGACAGGUCGAUCUUUUUAUCGG
rnacentral:lncRNA from 1 species